UACGUAGGCAGCAAGCGUUGUUCGGAAUUACUGGGCGUAAAGCGCGUGUAGGUGGUGCUAUAAGUUUGGUGUGAAAUCUCCCGGCUCAACUGGGAGGGUGCGCCGAAGACUGUAGUGCUAGAGUAUGGGAGAGGUAGGCGGAAUUCCUGGUGUAGCGGUGAAAUGCGUAGAUAUCAGGAGGAACACCUGCGGUGUAGACGGCUUACUGGACCAUGACUGACACUGAAACUCGAAAGUGUGGGGAGCAAACAGG
rnacentral:rRNA from 1 species